rnacentral:rRNA from 1 species
ACGAACGCUGGCGGCAUGCCUCACACCUGCAAGUCGCACGAGACCUUCGGGUCUAGUGGCGCACGGGUGCGUAACGCGUGGGAACCUGCCCUUAGAUUCGGAAUAACUCCCCGAAAGGGGUGCUAAUACCGGAUAAUGUCUUCGGACCAAAGAUUUAUCGCCUUUGGAUGGGCCCGCGUUGGAUUAGCUAGUUGGUAGGGUAAAAGCCUACCAAGGCGACGAUCCAUAGCUGGUCUGAGAGGAUGAUCAGCCACACUGGGACUGAGACACGGCCCAGACUCCUACGGGAGGCAGCAGUGGGGAAUAUUGGACAAUGGGCGAAAGCCUGAUCCAGCAAUGCCGCGUGAGUGAUGAAGGCCUUAGGGUUGUAAAGCUCUUUUACCCGGGAUGAUAAUGACAGUACCGGGAGAAUAAGCUCCGGCUAACUCCGUG